AAUCAACGCUGGCGGCGUGCCUCAGACAUGCAAGUCGAACGAUUAAAGCUCUCUUCGGAGAGUGUAUAGAGUGGCGCACGGGUGAGUAACACGUAAGUAAUCUGCCUUUGAGUGGGGAAUAACCCGGGGAACCCGAGCUAAUACCGCAUAAUGCAGCGGCACCGCAAGGUGACAGUUGUUAAAGCGAGUAAUCGCGCUUAAAGAGGAGCUUGCGGCAGAUUAGCUAGUUGGUAAGGUAACGGCUUACCAAGGCUACGAUCUGUAUCCGGUCUAAGAGGACGGUCGGACACACUGACACUGAAUAACGGGUCAGACUCCUACGGGAGGCAGCAGUCGGGAA
rnacentral:rRNA from 1 species